rnacentral:lncRNA from 1 species
AUCAAGGCUCCUUCCUCCCUCUGGAUCCCAGCUCUCAGAGCCUCAGGAGACUCUGCCCUUUGAGGUGCAUUUCCCUCAGGAGGUCAUCAUGGCAAACAACAAGGGGUGCUGGAAGUGGGCCAUUGCGGGUGGUGUCAGUGCGGUUCUGGUGUUCGCCAUCGCGAUGAUCGUGGUCUUCUCGCUGCAGAAACACACCGUCCCGCCAGGCUGUGAACAGGAUGAGACCUGCCGCUCUGAUGCAGACAUGCUGGACUACCUGCUAAGCAUGGGUCAGAUCAGCCAAAAGGAUGGCCUGCUGGUCACCUGGUACCACGGUGCCAACAGCAAGGAGCAAAUGAAGGCUGCCCUCAGCAGUGAUGUCAUGGUCCUGGAGGCAGACAUCACAACAGAAGGGCUGGGCACAGUCAACGAGACAGGAGUCGCCAUCAUGGCGCACCCCCCAGCCAUCUACAGUGACAACACCGUAGAGCAGUGGCUGGAGGCUGUGCUGGCCUCUUCCAAGAAGGGCAUCAAACUGGACUUCAAGACCAUCAAGGCUGUGGGCCCCUCCCUGGACCUCCUUCGGCGGCUGACAGAGGAGGGGAAAGUUCGAAGGCCUGUGUGGAUCAAUGCUGACAUCCAGAGGGGUCCCAAUGUGGGCAUCUCAAUAGAGGUCAAUGCCACACAGUUCCUGGCCUUGAUCCAGGAGAAGUAUCCUGAGGCAACCCUGUCUCCAGGCUGGACUACCCGGUACCUGCCCUUAUUCCCAAAUGGGACAUACACCCGGGCCAUGGUGGAGAAGAUGCAGGAGCUGGUGGGAGCACUGCCCCAGAAGGUGACCUUCCCCGUGCGGGCAGUCAUGGUCAGGGCGGCCUGGCCCCACUUCAGCUGGCUGCUUGGCCAAUCUGACAGGUACAGCCUCACGAUGUGGCAGUCCGCCUCGGACCCCGUGACAGUGGACGACCUCCUCUACAUCCGGGACAACACCGCCACCCACCAAGUCUACUAUGACCUCUUUGAGCCUCUCCUGUCACAGUUUAAGCAGCUUGCCAUGAAUACGUCACGGAAGCAAAGCUACUACACUGGGGGCAGCCUGAUCCCUGCUCUCCAGCAGCCCGGGGACGAGGGUCUGAGCGUGGAGUGGCUGGUUCCUGACAUCCAGGGCAAUGGAAGCACAGCAACAGUGCAGCUCCCAGACCGAGAAGGCAUGAUCCUGCUGGACGUGGGCCUCCAGAAGCCUGCAGCUGGGGACCCCGUGCCCAUCGUCCACACCCCAGAUGGCCGUGCCCUGGCACUGGAGUCCUGCCUGCAGCAGCUGGCCUCGCACCCCGGACACUGGGGGGUCCACGUGCACAUAGCAGAGCCCACCGCCCUGCGGCCAGCGCUGGCCACGCUGGCCACCCUCUCUGCCCUCGGCCGCCUGUCUAGGCCUGUGUGGGUCGGUGCCACAGUCUCCCACGGGAGUUUCAGGGUCCCUGGCUACAUGACUGGCAGGGAGUUGCUUACAGCUGUGGCCGACGUGUUCCCCCACGUGACGGUGGCACCAGGCUGGCCUGAGGAAGUGCUGGGCAGUGGCUACAGGGAACAGCUGCUCACAGAUAUGCUGGAGCUGUGCCAGGGCCUCUGGCAGCCCGUGUCCUUCCAGCUGCAGGCUGGGCCUCUGGGCCAGAGCCCCGCUGGAGUCGUGGCCCGGCUGCUGGAAGCUUCUCCCCGGGCCACGGUCACGGUGGAACACAGCCCUGGCCGGGGCCUCUAUGCGUCUGUGCGGGCAGCGCUGCUGGCAGCCAGGGCCGUGAAGAAGACCCGAGUCUACUACAGGCUACCCCAGAGCUACCGCCAAGACUUGCUGGCGGAUGUUGGCACACACUGA